UACGAAGGGGGCUAGCGUUGUUCGGAAUUACUGGGCGUAAAGUGUGCGCAGGCGGCCGCGCAAGUCGAGUGUGAAAUCCCCGAGCUUAACUUGGGAAUUGCGCUCGAAACUACGUGGCUGGAGUGUGGCAGAGGAAGGUGGAAUUCCACGUGUAGCGGUGAAAUGCGUAGAGAUGUGGAGGAACACCGAUGGCGAAGGCAGCCUUCUGGGCCAACACUGACGCUCAUGCACGAAAGCGUGGGGAGCAAACAGG
rnacentral:rRNA from 1 species